rnacentral:rRNA from 1 species
GACGAACGCUGGCGGCGUGCUUAACACAUGCAAGUCGAGCGGUAAGGCCCUUUCGGGGGUACACGAGCGGCGAACGGGUGAGUAACACGUGGGUGACCUGCCUUUAGCUCUGGGAUAAGCCUGGGAAACUGGGUCUAAUACCGGAUAUGACUCCGCGGUGCAUGCUGUGGGGUGGAAAGCCUUGUGCGGCUGGAGAUGGGCCCGCGGCCUAUCAGCUUGUUGGUGGGGUGAUGGCCUACCAAGGCGACGACGGGUAGCCGGCCUGAGAGGGCGACCGGCCACACUGGGACUGAGACACGGCCCAGACUCCUACGGGAGGCAGCAGUGGGGAAUCUUGCGCAAUGGGCGAAAGCCUGACGCAGCGACGCCGCGUGAGGGAUGACGGCCUCGG